rnacentral:rRNA from 1 species
GUGCCAGCCGCCGCGGUAAUACGGAGGAUGCGAGCGUUAUCCGGAUUCAUUGGGUUUAAAGGGUACGUAGGUGGCCCUGUAAGUCAGUGGUGAAAACCUGCCGCUUAACGGUAGGCGUGCCAUUGAUACUGCGGGGCUUGAGUACAGAUGAGGUAGGCGGAAUGUGUAGUGUAGCGGUGAAAUGCAUAGAUAUUACACAGAACUCCGAUUGCGAAGGCAGCUUACUAAACUGCAACUGACGCUGAUGUACGAAAGCGUGGGUAGCGAACAGGAUUAGAUACCCUGGUAGUCCACGCCGUAAACGAUGCUCACUGGCUGUAUGCGAUACACAGUAUGUGGCCAAGCGAAAGCGCUAAGUGAGCCACCUGGGGAGUACGCCGGCAACGGUGAAACUCAAAGGAAUUGACGGGGGCCCGCACAAGCGGAGGAACAUGUGGUUUAAUUCGAUGAUACGCGAGGAACCUUACCUGGGCUUAAAUGGGGAGUGACGGAUGCUGAAAGGUAUCUUUCUUCGGACACUCUUCAAGGUGCUGCAUGGUUGUCGUCAGCUCGUGCCGUGAGGUGUCGGGUUAAGUCCCAUAACGAGCGCAACCCUUACCGUUAGUUACCAUCAGGUGAUGCUGGGGACUCUAGCGGGACUGCCACCGUAAGGUGAGAGGAAGGCGGGGAUGACGUCAAAUCAGCACGGCCCUUAUGUCCAGGGCUACACACGUGUUACAAUGGCCGGUACAGAGGGCAGCUACUCCGCGAGGAGAUGCUAAUCUUGUAAAGCCGGUCUCAGUUCGGAUCGAAGUCUGCAACCCGACUUCGUGAAGCUGGAUUCGCUAGUAAUCGCGCAUCAGCCAUGGCGCGGUGAAUACGUUCCCGGGCCUUGUACACACCGCCCGUCAAACCAUGGAAGUUGGGGGUACCUGAAGUCUGUUACCGCAAGGAGCGGCCUAAGGUAAAACCAAUGACUGGGGUUAAGUCGUAACAAGGUAACC